CACGUAGGGCGCAAGCGUUGUCCGGAAUUAUUGGGCGUAAAGAGCUCGUAGGCGGUCUGUUACGUCUGCUGUGAAAUUUCGGGGCUCAACCCCGAACUUGCAGUGGGUACGGGCAGACUAGAGUGUGGUAGGGGAGACUGGAAUUCCUGGUGUAGCGGUGAAAUGCGCAGAUAUCAGGAGGAACACCAAUGGCGAAGGCAGCUCGCUGGGACGGUACUGACGCUGAGGCGCGAAAGCGUGGGGAGCAAACAGG
rnacentral:rRNA from 1 species